AGAGAGAAAAAGAGAGGGGGUGGGGACUGGGUGACAGCAGUCUUUAUACCUCACACCCGGCAGUGGCAAGUAAUGGUGGUGGAGGAUGUUGUAGGCUGAUGGCUAUGCCCCUUGGAGGAGCCUGGUGGGACCGCCUGUAAGCUAACACAAAUCUUUGGAUCCAGGAAGGACUGUUUAGCACAGAUCUCACUUGUACUCUCAUUCUCUUGGAUCUUGCCGACUGUAAGAAUCAGCAAGCCAUCUCAUCUCCCCACAACCCUCCCCUGAAAAGGAUCUUCUGCCAAAUCAGAGGCUAAUGCAGCAGACAACGUCCAGUGUCUUUCUCGCUCUGUCAUUCUUCCCUUGGGCAAGUUCUUUCUGGAAAGAGAGCUGAAUUAGAAUUGCAUGUGGGUGACCACAGGGAAGGCCACAUAACUGACACCACCGCCUGGUUACCACAUCCUGCGAGUGCUACUUUCAGAGAGGGUGACGCAGUCUCCAGCUCAGAGUAGUGUGAGGGCAUCUCACAGUGACGUGGUGACAUCAUUCAUCAUGGCACCUCAAACCAAGUAGAAGUAGAUGGUCAGUGACGCUGUGCUCUCAGAUGGUUUAGACUUGGUGGCAUGUCUAAUAGUUUACUGCACAGAGCAUGGCAAGGAGGCACGCCAUCCCACGCCACACGGAGAAAGGCAGCCCUGCUAUUGCCCACUCCCAGAUGCUCCACACCUCCGUGGAUCAGCCUAAACUGCAUGUCCCAGAAGCCAGUGCAGGAGCCAUACAGCUGCCCCUCCCCUCCUCAUCUCUGGUUUUCUUGGGCUCUGUUCAGGUACCAGCUGUUUAGUGGGCCUUUUCCUGGGAAGACCUGAACAUCUUUUCCCUCCAGGCUGGGCACCAAUGACAGAUAAAAGAGACAGUUUCACCCAGGUCUAUGUUAGUGACCCAGGGAGUUCCUCAGAGUGUCUGAAUCAAAGAGAGCAGUGUUACCAAAGAGCCUCGUCAUGGCUCAAGAGCCACAAGCCUGGAGUAGUCUGUACAGCUUGCAGGUAGCCUGACUAGCCAGCAGUAGUUACUGUCACUAUAGACCCUUGAAUCUUAGAACGUUCCAGAGGUCCCCUAUCCUAUGCUUGUGAAUAAUGUUUCCUGAGUUUUCUUCAUUUUCUGAGACUUAAGAGUCUCUCCAGCCCCUCCAGAAAAGAGCGCUCAACUGUGGAAGAAGGGAUUGUGCUGCCUUCCCCAGGCCAUGUCCCCAUCCUUUCAUGUUGGAGAUGAGUUUAGAGCUUGCAGCUCUCAAUCGAGAUGAAGACUAUUUGACAGAACAGACGCAAUGGAAUUGAACACGCUACCAGAGCACAUGGCAUGUGAUUAUAGGAUGGUCCUGGAGACACCGUGGAUGGGAUUGUAGUAAGACUUCUGAUGCCAAUGUGAGCAGUCAACAUUCCAGCAGGCAAGCAGUACUAAUUGAACUCGGUUCCUGCCCUGCAUGAGUUCCUGCCCUCUCUGCUUUUAGUCAGGACCAUUUAUAAGGGACUGUGAGUGAAAUUAACAAUUUCCUUUCUGGGUUGCUUUCGUUCGUGGUGUUUCAUUGUAGUCGUAGAAACCCUAACAAAGAUAUAGAUUCGAUCUUUAAAAAAAAAUGGAAUAAGAUAAAUAAAAGAUAUUCUU
rnacentral:sRNA from 1 species